AUGGAUAAACAGGAUGCGGUUAGAUCAAUUCUUUGCAUUGGUACAGUAACCUUUGAGGAGAAGUACCUAGGGCUGCCAACGCCCGAGGGUCGCAUGACGCAAGGUAAAUUUCAGAAUCUGCAAUCACGUCUCUUGAAGAGAAUUAUAGCUUGGGGUGAUACCCUCUCUCUGGCCGGUAAGGAGAUCAUGAUUAAGGCGGUUGCUCAGGCUAUCCCUACCUAUAUUAUGGGUGUCUUCAAGCUCCCUAUGUCAGUGUGUGAUGACCUGAACAGAAUGGUACGGAACUUCUGGUGGGGCUCAGUGGAUGGUAAAAGGAAAACACACUGGUUAGCAUGGCCAAAAAUACAGGCUCAUAAAUCAAAGGGUGGCCUGGGAUUCAGAGACUUCCGCAUCUUCAACCAGACCCUCCUCGCGAGACAGGCUUGA
rnacentral:rRNA from 1 species